UCUAAUCUUUGAUUGUUUUGUGAAGGAUUGGAUGAUUUUACCUCUUGCUGCUGUGAUGUGAGCAGUUUAAAGGGGAAAAAAAAUCAUUAGAAACUAAAGUACAAUGUUUGACUCUACAAUGCAGUGGAGUAGGUUUUUUUUUGGUGUAAUCUGGUAUUUCUGACUUCCCAGUGACAUGUGGGCAGUUGGUGGACAUUUUGCACUGAACAGAAACUCAUGAAAUGUCAUAAAAAAUAAAAAACAUGUCUUUCAAGCAUACAGUACACACUGUACAUAGUGUUUCAUGGAGACAUAAAGCUGAUUCUACCUGCGGAAUGUUAGAACGUGUGACUGUCAAAGACUUUAGAACUCUGUGAUGUCACAAAGGCCUGCAGGGUGCAGAUCAGUCCGUUCUGCGGUUCUGCUCUCACUUUGUUCGAGUGAGUUUCAGCACGAGGACAAACCUUUCAGACAUUUCAGUUUCGACACGGUGAACGAGACACAGAGAAACACCAAGCAACAAGAUGUCUAUGAAUUACAGGGAGAAAGUUCAAUCUUCCACAUCCUCCUCAGAUGACAACUCAGUCGUUGUUUUAGACAUCCUGGCCUCCCCCUCCUCCAAAUACUUCGUGAAGUCUAUUUUGGGGGAGGGCAGCUUUGGAACCGUCACCAAGUGCAUAAAGGCAGCCACAAAAGGAACGGUGGCUGUGAAGAUAAUGAAGAAAAGGAGUUUAACGUCCGAGGCGCAGAAUGAGAUGGCCAUCCUUGAAUACCUGAGAGCUUUCGACUCAGACAGAUUCAAUUUCAGUUUGUAGGUUUGAGUGUAAAGUAAACACUAACUGUUACAUUAGAACUAGUUUGUUUCACCACUUUGUACAGCUGCACCGUCUCUAUUUACGUGAUAAAUGAAUAAAGUGAGAUGUGGCCAAACAUUGCUGCAGAAAGUUGUUUCACCUGAUGCAACAUUCACGUAAAAUGGGAGAGAAAACUAUUACUAACUAGUGACAGACAGGAAGAGACCGACGAUAGUCGAAAGCAGUCUGUGGACAGUCACAUCUGAACUGGCCAACUUAUAUAAUAAUUCAACAAUCAUUUCUCAGUCAUCUCUAUGUAGAAAGCAGGACGGUGAAUCUGAAAGUUCACUCCAUAUGAUUCAAAAUUUAGUCAGUAUUUAUAUGG